AGUAACACGUGGAUAACCUACCUAUAAGACUGGGAUAACUUCGGGAAACCGGAGCUAAUACCUGAUAAUAUUUUGAACCGCAUGGUUCAAAAGUGAAAGACGGUCUUGCUGUCACUUAUAGAUGGAUCCGCGCUGCAUUAGCUAGUUGGUAAGGUAACGGCUUACCAAGGCAACGAUGCAUAGCCGACCUGAGAGGGUGAUCGGCCACACUGGAACUGAGACACGGUCCAG
rnacentral:rRNA from 1 species